rnacentral:lncRNA from 1 species
AAGAGAGCAACAUUUACAUUUUCAGCGGUCCAACACAUGCUUUAUUUUGCGCUGUAAACUAACCUUUUUAUUGCAACAGGUUCCUUUUAAAUGAUCCAGUGUAAUAACUACUGCUUGUGUCUUCUAUGUCUCACAUUAUGUGUUCUUUUAAAUUGUGGUAUAUAGCCUGAAUCAGAAAUCAUGGACAAAGGUUUUUACCUGUGUUACUAAGGGCUCUUGGAGACUGACCGGUCUAAAGGUUUGCCAUGCCUUUAAAACAUGGUAUAGUAUAAAUUUUUUAAGUCUCUGAGAGUUCUGAAAGAUUCAGGUGAAACCAUGUCUGUUUAAUCUGGUCCAGAUGUUUGCAAAAAAUUUCUGUAAGAUUUAAGUUGAUGCAGCAUCAUCUCAGAUUAGUUAAUGGAAGUUUUAUACAAAUAUUUGAGUUAUGAGCGCGCUAUAUAAAUGGAUCCUUUCUUUAAAUACAAUACUAUAGUAGAUUAAAGUAAUGAAGUUAAUUAAGAAAAUGUACACAUAAGAAGCCCUAAAAUAAAUCUAAACUAAAAUUGGUAUACCUUCCAAUAAUGUCCUGAAUACAGCUGUUAACUGUUUAUUCUGUGUAAAUGGUGACUGUGAUAAUGUGUGAUAAGUGUGCAGUUAAACUUGAAAGUGGUUUAAUUUAUAUGUUGCUGUAUUGUUUUAAAUUAUAUGUGAAUCAGUUUGUCACAGUCUAGUGAUACUGAUAAGAAUGACAGCCAAAUAACCUAGCAAAUAACUGUUUUAUUAGUUGUUGAAUACUAGCGUUUUGGCCAAGAAUAGUUGGAGAUUUGGAGGUGUUAGUUUAAGAUUGCUUUUAUAUUGUGUGUAUCCGUGUUUCCUAGGAGGGAGACAGAGUGUGUAGUUGUGUGCCCAUAAAUGUGAUUUCUGUAUUGGCAUAUCUGCUGGGUACCCAUUAUGUGUUUCUACAAAGAUAUUGUUUUAUGAGAUGACUAAUAUUACAUGGGAUGCUGAGUAUGAGUUAUAUGGUUUGAAAUGAAUUGGUGAUUAUGAGCUUAGUACUUCAGUAAGAUGUGCUAAAAUUUGGAACAAGGUGGAAGCUGAAAUGUUGGGAUUAUGGAAGAAUAAGCAGUCUAUAUUCACUGCUUUGGCAUAUAAGCAAGAUGCAAAGGAAGAGAUUGGUAAUAUGAUUUUUGUAAAGAAAUUUUACAAGUGUUGGAAGGAUGAGGCAGGUUUGAUGUCUGGAGAUGAUAUAGAUAUCUUUAAAAUACAGUCAUGCCUUGGUAAUAUGUUGCCACAGUAUUCUUUGCUUGUGAAACAAUUGAUUUCAGACUGGGACAAUUUGGAUAGCUCAGAUUUUCUUACCAAGGUUAUAGAAAAGGAAAAUGCAGGUUGUUUUGAAUUAAGAAAAGAUUUAGGAAAGUAAGGUUGCUUAUUAUGCUCAGGGAUUGCAACAUAUUAUGUCCAGCUACACAGGAUGAGAGCAAGGAUGGGAUGGAGCACAUAAAGCCCGUGGAAGGGGUGGUCAAAGAGGGGCAAGGGGAUGGAGACAGGGAAAUCAGGGUUAUAGGGGCAGGGGUAACCAAGGAGGAAUAGACAGGAACACUUGUUUCAACUGU